rnacentral:rRNA from 1 species
UGGGGAAUUUUGGACAAUGGAGGAAACUCUGAUCCAGCAAUUCUGUGUGUGUGAAGAAGGUUUUAGGACUGUAAAACACUUUUAGUAGGGAAGAAAAAAAUGACGGUACCUACAGAAGAAGCAACGGCUAAAUACGUGCCAGCAGCCGCGGUAAUACGUAUGUUGCGAGCGUUAUCCGGAAUUAUUGGGCUUAAAGGGCAUCUAGGCGGUAAGACAAGUUGAAGGUGAAAACCUGUGGCUCAACCAUAGGCUUGCCUACAAAACUGUUGAACUAGAGUACUGGAAAGGUGGGUGGAACUACACGAGUAGAGGUGAAAUUCGUAGAUAUGUGUAGGAAUGCCGAUGAUGAAGAUAACUCACUGGACAGAAACUGACGCUGAAGUGCGAAAGCUAGGGGAGCAAACAGG